UGGGUAACCUGCCUCAAAGAGGGGAAUAGCCUCCCGAAAGGGAGAUUAAUACCGCAUAAUAUGUUUUAAUCGCAUGGUUUUAACAUCAAAGGAAUUUCUUCGGAACUUCCACUUUGAGAUGGACCCGCGGCGCAUUAGCUAGUUGGUGAGGUAACGGCUCACCAAGGCAACGAUGCGUAGCCGACCUGAGAGGGUNAUCGGCCACAUUGGAACUGAGACACGGUCCAGACUCCGUACGGGAGCAG
rnacentral:rRNA from 1 species